rnacentral:rRNA from 1 species
UACGGAGGGUGCAAGCGUUAUCCGGAUUUAUUGGGUUUAAAGGGUGCGUAGGCGGUUAUAUAAGUCAGCGGUGAAAUUUUUCGGCUCAACCGGAAACAUGCCGUUGAUACUGUAUAGCUUGAAUAUGGUUGCUGUGAGUGGAAUGUGUAGUGUAGCGGUGAAAUGCUUGGAUAUUACACAGAAUAUCGAUUGCGAAGGCAACUCACAAAGCCAAUAUUGACGCUGAGGCACGAAAGUGUGGGGAUCAAACAGGAUUAGAAACCCCUGUAGU